UACGUAGGGGGCAAGCGUUGUCCGGAUUUAUUGGGCGUAAAGAGCGUGUAGGCGGCCAGACAGGUCCGUUGUGAAAACUGGAGGCUUAACCUUCAGACGUCGAUGGAAACCGUCUGGCUAGAGUCCGGAAGAGGAGAGUGGAAUUCCUGGUGUAGCGGUGAAAUGCGCAGAUAUCAGGAAGAACACCCGUGGCUAAGGCGGCUCGCUGGGACGGUACUGACGCUAAGGCGCGAAAGCGUGGGGAGCGAACAGG
rnacentral:rRNA from 1 species